rnacentral:rRNA from 1 species
AGCCUGAUGGUGCGACGCCGCGUGGAGGAUGACAGCCCUAGGGUUGUAAACUCCUGUCAUGAGAGAGUAAAGACUUAACGUUAAUACCGUUGGGUCCUGAUAGUAUCUCAAGAGGAAGGGACGGCUAACUUCGUGCCAGCAGCCGCGGUAAUACGAAGGUCCCAAGCGUUGUUCGGAAUUACUGGGCGUAAAGCGUGCGUAGGUGGCAUGGUAAGUCAGAUGUGAAAUCCCGGGGCUCAACCUCGGAACUGCAUCCGAUACUGCCAAGCUAGAGUAGUGGAGGGGAGUCUGGAAUUCACGGUGUAGCAGUGAAAUGCGUAGAUAUCGUGAGGAACACUAGUGGCGAAGGCGAGACUCUGGACACUAACUGACACUGAGGCACGAAGGCUAGGGUAGCGAAAGGGAUUAGAUACCCCUGUAGUCCUAGCAGUAAACGGUGCGCGUUUGGUGUGGGCGGGUUCGACCCCGUCCGUGCCGAAGCUAACGCGUUAAACGCGCCGCCUGGGGAGUACGGCCGCAAGGCUAAAACUCAAAGAAAUUGACGGGGACCCGCACAAGCGGUGGAGUAUGUGGCUUAAUUCGAUGCAACGCGAAGAACCUUACCUAGGCUUGACAUGCUUGUCGUAGUUCUGUGAAAGCAGAUCGUCAGUUCGGCUGGACUUGCACAGGUGCUGCAUGGCUGUCGUCAGCUCGUGUCGUGAGAUGUUGGGUUAAGUCCCGCAACGAGCGCAACCCCUAUGAUUAGUUGCCAGCGAGUAAUGUCGGGGACUCUAGUCAGACUGCCUGUAUUAAACAGGAGGAAGGUGGGGACGACGUCAAGUCAGUAUGGCCCUUACGCCUAGGGCUGCACACGUACUACAAUGCCCAGUACAAUGUGAACCGAUACCGUAAGGUGGAGGAAAUCCUUAAAACUGGGCUCAGUUCGGAUUGUGGGCUGCAACUCGCCCACAUGAAGCUGGAAUCGCUAGUAAUGGCACAUCAGCUACGGUGCCGUGAAUACGUUCCCGGGUCUUGUACACACCGCCCGUCACAUCAUGGAAGCCGCUCGCACCCGAAGUACCUCUAUAGGGUCCUAAGGUGUAGGUGGUAACUGGGAUGAAGUCGUAACAAGGUAGCCGUAGGGGAACCUGCG